rnacentral:rRNA from 1 species
UACGAAGGGGGCUAGCGUUGCUCGGAAUUACUGGGCGUAAAGGGCGCGUAGGCGGCACUGUUAGUCAGGCGUGAAAGUCCUGGGCUCAACCUGGGAACUGCGCUUGAUACGGCAGAGCUAGAGGAUGGAAGAGGCUCGCGGAAUUCCCAGUGUAGAGGUGAAAUUCGUAGAUAUUGGGAAGAACACCGGUGGCGAAGGCGGCGAGCUGGUCCAUUACUGACGCUGAGGCGCGACAGCGUGGGGAGCAGACAGG